rnacentral:lncRNA from 1 species
UGACUCUACCUCCUAAAUAAUAUUUAAUUAGUUAAAAUGGGUAAAAUUUAUUUUAUAUUUUAAUGGAUUUGAUAAAAUAAAAUCCAUUAAUCUAUUUUAAUUUAUUGAAAAUUUAAUUUAAACUUCGAUUCAAUGAUGAUUGAUUUCAUAAAUAUCCAAUUCAAUCCAUUUAUUAACAACUUUUAUACAAUUUAUAAAAACAAUAGUUUUAAAAACUUAAAAACAUUUUAAAAAAAUUAAAAAUGAAUUCUGUAAAAAUAAUAAUUUUAAGAAAUUGUAAAAAGUCAUUAAUCAUCCAUAAAAUAAAAUGGAUUAAUUUAAUCGAAUAUAUAUUUUAGAAUUUUAUAAUGAAAAUGAGAUGAAUUUACUAUGGAUAAAUUGAUUGUGUCAUAUAGUAUAAAAAAAUCAUUAAAUAAUAAUUAAUUUUGAAGAUAAAAAAUAAUUAUUAAUUAAAUUAAACUAAACAUUAUUUUAUAAAUUAAAAUAAUUAUUAAUAUUUAAAAUAAUUUUUAUUAUUAAUAAAAAAAUUAAAUUUUAAAUUGUUAUCUAAUCUUAACAUUACUUUAUAACACCACACUCGACAAUAUUUAUGUGGUGCGUUUAAUGAAUUUGCACCUACAUCUUGGAAAAUAUUUAUUAUCCAACAACUAAAGAUAAUUGAUUCCGUCUAUAAACAAAAACUCACUUAUUAUUUAAUUAUAUAUAUUAUAUACCAAUUCAAAAUAUUAUCAAAAUUAACCAUAAUUACCUUUUUUUAUAUUUAUCACCGUCUACAAAUGGUCAAAAAUCUAUAUCCUCAAAUGUGCAGUAUAAUUUAUUUUCAAGUAGAUUUCCAUUUAUUUAUAUUUAUAUUUUAUUAAUAUAGAUUUAUUCUCUUAAGAAAAUCGAGAACUCAAUUAAGAAAAUUUAAAGUUUUAUCUCAUUAAGUAUUUAGUUAGAGAAUAAUUGUAGGAUUUGUGUAAUAGAUAAAUAACUCUAAAAGUAUAGAUGAUAAUUUAUUAGUUUUGGACAGCACAAGAAAGAAAGAGAAAGAGAGAAUGGGAAAAGUCAGAAAAAGUAGUAUUACAUUGACUGAGAAGCUGAAAAAGUGUAAAACUAAACUACUACUAUCUAAAAUUAUUCUAUGUCAUUCAUAUGCUCAGAUGCACUGUAUUUAUAAAGUGCUGAAACAAAGAAAAUUAUGCACCUAAACAACUUCACAAAACUUGACCCACCUAACUCAACUAGUAAAACUACAAAAAUAUCCUUAUAAACAAAUCUACUAAAAACUACUUCUUUGCUGCAACCCAGCUCCAAAAUUUAUGUUCUGAUAUUCCAAAUGAAAUUAUGAGUUGGAAUUCCAACAAAAAUCAGAGACAUCUAUAGAAAAAAAAAACAUAAAGCAAACAAUCAGCUUAAUUCAGCGCAGGAAAAUACAGUUUUUUAAGCUGUAAAUUUAUUAAGUUUUGUAAAAGUUCUAAUUUCUCGCAGAAAAUAAAUCUAAUUUAAAAAUAGAAAAUACAAAUAAAAUAAACAUUUAAAAGAUACAAUUAAUCUAAAAAUUAAGACAAAAUCAAGUUAUAUAAGAAAAACUAUAAGUUAAUAACACUCAAAAACAUUAACAAGUGUAUUAGAUAGAUAACACAUAAAAGCAUUAAUAAGUAUAUCACAGACAAAAACAGAUAAUAGAGCAUAGUUCUUCUUAAACAUUCUUUUUCCAAAAACUUCUUGAUGGCUGAGCUUUCAAAACCGCCAACUUAUCAAAACAUAAAUUAGAGCUUUGGUCAGAAGGACAAGAAGAUUGAGUUCCGGAUGACUAGUCAACAUUAUUUUUUGGCCAAACUUUAACUUAAAUAAAUUGUAUAAAGUUUAUUCAGGAUUUCAUGGGCCAUGUAUUGGGUCUAGUAGAAUAAAAUAAUUGGACCAAAUGUUUGGGCCAAGUAGCAUAGGUUUUUGGGCUUGUAUUUGGGCCAAUACUAGAAUAAGUCUAGUUAGGGUAAAAAUUAAACUUUUUUUUAGCCCAAUGUGAUCCUAGAACGUCUAGGGUAUAAUAUAGGACGAAAAUUAACUUUAGUAAAGAGCACAUAGACGUCCACAUGACAACCUAGGAGUGGAGAGGAUUUAGCAUGGAAGGUGUGAACUAAACAUGGAAAGCACGAGUCUACAAAACACCUUCUCAUUAGAGAGUUUUAUUUUGAAUUUUUAAAUUUUGGCUCCAAAAUGUUUAGCCCUUUCUCCAAUAAAUUGAGGUGCUUGGCUCAUGAAAACAUAGAUCAAUAUAUGAGUGUUAUGUUUCCAAAUUGCAAGCCUAAGCACUCUCUUGUCUAGCCUCGCUAGAAUAGACACCUUUGGUCUCCUUCUCCACCUCUUCCAAGUGAUAUGUCCGAACCAAUCACUCUCCCUACUCUUCAUGCAACUCCAAGGAAUCCAUAGCUCUAAUGGAGCCAUCCUUGACAUAUUCCUUCCAUUAAGCUUCCGUCAAUUUCCUUCAAAUUUCAAGAAAAACUCAAUUCGGAUGAGAUGAUGCUAUCAUUUGGUAUCUAGAGCUUUGAUUCUUCAAAGCCAACUGUCUUCUCUCCUAAUUUUCUUCUCUUUAAAUCCGUGUUGUUCCUAUGGUGUUCUAUUAUAUGGUACGAACCUUCCAUACUCUGCUAUAUGGUUUUCUGUUAUGAACCUUCCAUACUCUUCUAUAUGGUAUUUUGAACCAUAUUUUUGAAGCAAUCAUUUGUUACACUUUUGUUCAUAUUUUUCCUUUUGCAUAAAGCUUAUUGUAAUCAAUCUUCUGACCAAGAGGCUCUUCUAAGAAGUUAUCACCAUAUAGCUUUUGUACAAUUGUGUCAAUUCCAUAGUAAAUCGCUUCCCUCUUAGGAUAAAAGCAAUUAGGAACCCUUUCCUAGUGAUUGCAUUAAAGAUACUGACUAAAUUGAUGGACACUUCUUUACUAACCUAACAUAGUUCCAAAAUAUCCUAACCAAUUAUGGGUAGAUGGUUUGAUUCAAGAAGGAAACCUUGAAUACAACGUUCAAGAUCCACACUAAAUUCCAAAACCUCUUUCAUUAAGUUGUUCUAGAUCAUAAUACAAAAGGAUUUUUAGGUUAUACGAAAGGGUUAAAAAUAGUAACUGAGCAAUGGUAAUAUUAAAAAGAUUACAACUCAUAUUUUUCUUUCUAAAAUUAGAGAAAUUAAAACCCUCAAGAAUGUAAAUAAUCACAUGCUCAAACAAUUUUCAAUCAAAUAUUCAAUCAAAACAUAAUCUAGUAUUCACGAAAUCAACCAAUAUUCAUUAAUAUAAAUAAACUAUUUAGGAAAUUCAAAUCAAAUGUACAACAAGAUUUGUGGUCAUUCCCAAUACAUGAAGUUUGGCUUACAAAAAAAAGGAUAUUUAAUCAUCUAUCACUUUUAUCGCCUAGACUAUCUAAAUGCACACAUAACUUAGACCAUCUAAUACUUCAAAAUACUAUAUUAUCUACAAGUAGACACAAUAUAAUUGCAAAUUAAUCAAAUGCAUUACGAAGUAUGCAGUAUUUUUAGAUACAUUUAACUCAUACAAAUAUGAUUAUAUUGAUAGAAUACGUGGCUUGAAACAAGAGGGAGGGGGAAUUGUUUUCACAAUAUUUUCUAAAAAACUGGAGUUAGACCGAAAAACUCAAUAAAAUUAAAUAAUUGAUUUACAUGUUCAACUGAUUAUAAAAAGCACAACAAGCAUUUAAUCAAAAUAUAAACCUGUUGUUUCAAGAAUUCAAUCAAUUGAUUUAAACGCAAAACACUGUAAAAAAUAUUAUAUAAUAGAUAUUAGAGUAAGAGAGAGAGAGAUAAUGCACAUGAGAUUUAUACUGAUUCACUUUUAACAAAAAGCUACAUCCAGUCCUUAGCACACCACUAAGAAUUCACUAAAAACAAUCAAACAAGAUUACACAAGAACAACCAAGAGUGUUGAUCUUGAACCCUACAAGAAUACACAACACUCUUAACCAUCCACAUAAUUUAGAAACUCUAUUUGAGUUUGUUUACAGUACAAAACAGUGAAAAGAAUGAAGUUCGAAUACACCUGGGUUUAAUACAAAUGAAGAACAACAAAAUUGAUAUCCCAAAAACCUUCUUCACAUCACAACAAUGAUCCAAGAUCCAAAUGUAAUCUCCAAGAAUGAUUUAAAGCUUUAUGUUUUUCUGUCUAUGAAAAGUGUUAUGUUAAAUGAUAAAAAAACAUCUGUAUAUAAGCUAAGAAAGAUUGUUAAAACAGUUUGAUCAUUUAAUGAAAUUAGUUGUAUCAAUUAAAAACAAUUCGAUUAACAUAACAAAAUUAUGUUAAAAAACAUUUCAUUGAUUUAUGAAAAUAACUGACUAUUUUCUUUAACAAAAUUACCAGAUUAAAAACUGGUUCAUUUAUCGAAAUAACUGGUUGAUUUCACUUAAUAGAAAAGACAUAAAAGAAAACAAAUCAUUUUUAAAUCCUUUAAAAACCAUAAGUGUUUUAAACUGAUUGAUAUGAUAAACCAAUCUGUUAAAAUACUUAUUAUAGUCAACAAACUUGAAUAGAAGUAAUUUCAACUGAUUAAUAUAUGAAUCAACUAAUUAAAAUAAACACAGAUUUGGAAAGCAAAACAUUUAAAGGAGAUUUCAAAUCAGGUUUACUUGGAUCAUAUUGAUAUGCAAAUUUACAUAACAAAAUCUACCGAACUAAACACACAUACACACGCUAUAGUAGGUUUUCAAGACAAAUUUGGAAUCAUAAAAGUUUCUUUGUUCAACAUAUCUAAACAUAAGUGUUUAAUGCAUACAAGAUAACAUCAUUUGAUACACCAAAUUUUAUACCAUCUAUAUAUAUGCAAAGAAACUUUAGAUCGUCUAAUCAUAUGCAACACCUAGAUCAUCCAAUGCAAAGUACUGAGACAUAUAAGUUAGAAAUACUUAUCUCGUAGACCUUGUGAAAAAAAAUCGUCUAUAUGAAGAUGUUGAACAAAAUGCUUUGAUGUCUCCAAAUCCAAGUGGAAAGCUUGAAGACCUUGGUGAUGUGUGUGUGUUGUUUAGCUUUUUGAAACUUGUUAAUUCACUCCUUAAGAUGAUCCAAGCUCAAUUGAAUCUUUACCUUUUUGAAAAGAUGGGUUUUCUAAAAGGGUGUGAAAAUUCAACUUGUUGAAAUGUCGAAACAACCUAUUGUUUGACACUUAAUGGUUUUGAAAAUGGUUUGGAAAAGCUUAGCUUUGUUUUGACUUUGUUGUUAAACAAAAUCAACUGGUUGUUUCGAUAAAUCAACUGUUUUUUUGUGUGAAAACCUUAACAAAAUUUUGUGCAAACAUAUGCUAAUUAUUAAAGAAACCAGGAGGAAGAACAUUAAAUGCUCUGGUCUUUGUCCAUUUCUCCCUCUGGUGAGGUCUUUGUUUGCAUGUUGAGAUGACUUCUCAUAGUUUGAAUGGUCAUUUGCAUCCUUGGUCAUCUUCUUGUUGGCUUGGCUUGCAUCAUGCCCCCAGGUUUGAGAGAAUUCGACCUCGAAUUUAGAACUCUUGCAGAUAACACAGUCAAUGGGCUCACAUAUAAGAUAGUGCAAGGAAUGGGAUGUGAACUAGACUUAUGUUCCUUAAGCUUGGGGAGUUCAAAAGAUGGGCCUCUAUAUACAUACCAUGUUUGGAAAGAUUGUUUGGGAAUGACAAAUAUUUUGGAAGAAAAUCCUCUUAGAAGGUGGAAACCUUGAGGAGGUGUUUGAAAAUCAUUCCUAACAGUCUUUAACAAAGAUGGUGUGUAGGUAGAAACCUUUGGUAAUGAAAAAGAUAAGGAAGGACACCUUGGAGGUGCAAUUUGUAGCAUGGCUCGAGUCAACAUGAUUGAUUUAGUGGUGGAAGAUGAUAUGUUGCGACUCAAUUUAUCUUUUCUUUCUUUCUCUUUUUCAUUCUCUCUUUUUGUUUUCAUUUUUAAUUGGUCCUCAUGAACCUCCUUGGGAGAGAGAGGUUUUAAGAUAAACUUGUGCCCUUGGAAGGUAAAAGUCAUUUUGUUGGUUAGGCCAUCAUGUAGAACUUUUCUAUCAUAUUGUCAUGGCCUUCCCAAAAGAAUAUGUGUUGCUUCCAUUGACACAACAUCACAUAAAACUUCAUCUUUAUACUUUCCUAUAGGAAAAGUUAUGAGGACUUGUUUAUUAACCAUGAUUUCUCCUUCGGCACUAAGCCAUUGUAGUUUAUAGGGUUUUGUAUGAGAGAUAGUGGGUAAACCAAGCUUCUACACUACUCUUGUACUUGCAACAUUAGCACAACUACCCCCAUCUAUUAUCAUGGAACAUAACUUUUUGGUGAUAAGGCAGUGGGUGUGGAAAAUAUUUUCUCUUUGGGUGUCAUCCAAAGGUUUUAGAAUGGUCCCAAGCAUUCACCUUAUUACCAAUAAGUCACCUUCACAAGGUAUCUCACAUUCAUUAUCACUAGGGGUUUUUGAAGGGGAAGGGGAGUUAGACCUAGAAGAUUGAUCACUAUGUUCACUGAUUACUUGCCCCCCCUUAACCAUCAUGGUUCAUUUUAUUGGACAAUCGGCCGCUAUGUGCCCAAAACCUAAACAUUUAAAACACUUUUUACUUGAGGAUUUGGUAGGGGAUUUAGGUGUGAUAGUGGAGAGUUUAGAAUCCCUAGGGUUGUAACUGGACUCCUUUACAAAGUUGGAGGGAAAAGUUUUAAAAGAAGACUUGUUUUGAUUUUUCCAAUAGGAGUGGUAGUGGCCAUCAUUAUGAGUAUUUUUGGAAAAUGUUUUCUUUGAAAGUUGUGAUUCAACCUCGAUGGUAAGGUGAACCAAUUUUUCUAAAGAUGAGUACUCAUAUAAUUCUACCACAUCUUGAAUUUUCCUUCUCAAGCCACUUACAAACCUAGCCAUUUUGGACUCCUCACUUUCAUGCAUGUCAACUUUAGUUAAGGUUAUUUCAAGUUCUUUAAAAUAAUCAUCCACACUUUGUGUUCCUUGUUGAAGCCGUUGGAGCUUCAACAAGAGCUAUUUCCUAUAGUGUGGAGGAACAAAUCUAGCACACAUGCAUAACUUUAAAUCCUCCCAAGAGACCACGACUGGCCUCUUGUUUAGUCCAAUGUACAUUACAGAUUUAUGUCACCACUGCAUGGCAUAGUCUAAAAAUUCUAAGGAGGCUAACUUAAAAUUUUGGUCAUCUUGGACAUCAUGUACAUUAAAGAUUUGUUCUACUUUAGCCUCCCUUCCUAGGUAAAUAUUGGGGUCACCUUCCCCACUAAAACUAGGUAUUUUUACAAAUGGUAAAAAAGGCUUUCCCACAUGUUGGCUCCUAUCAUCAAAAUGAUGCAUUCUCCAUUCGUCCUCUUCUUCAUGCCUACCAUAGUUUUGGUAACUUCUUGACUCACGCCUUGGAUUAUAUCUUCUUCCUCUUUGGGGUCUAUCAUAGGUCGCUUCUAGCCUUUGGAGUCUCUCCUCCAUUUGCCUCAUCUUUUCGUCCUUUUGUGCCAAAGAUCUCUUGGUCGCCGCCAAUUCUCCCAUAAGGAAAGCCUUUUGAGGAGAUUGAGGUUUAGAAGAUUCCCCACUUGAAAUAUGAGCCAUAAUAACAAACAAAACACACAAGUGACAAACAAUUAGAAAAAGAAGUUAGUAAUAGUUCACUAUCAAGGUUGCGCCCUUGUAUAAGGUUCACUCCAAACACUCAACAAAACUUUUUCCUCCCUUAGCAAAGGUCUUUCUUGUGGUUUGAAAAACUCUCAAAUGAAAAAGGUCAAAGCCUUCAAACUUGAUCUCAAAGGCAAAAUCACCACAAAACAUUGAAGGAAAUGAAAAUAAAAGACAAACAAGAAAAGCUCAAACAAGAAAGGCUAAACCAAAUUGGAAAAAGAGAAUAUGAAAAAACUUGAAAAGGAAGACAAACAAGAAAAGGCACAAAAGAAGACUCUAAGAAACUUACUAAACUUUUAAAUAUGAAACUUUUUCUUUAGAACUUGUUAAAGCAAAAUAAUAAAAAAUUCCACAAGGUUGAAAACAAUUUGCCAAUCAAUUUGAAUCCAUAUUUUGGAAAAUGAUUUUCUUUGCUAAGUGAUAGCCAAAGAUGCGUUUUCAAUAUCUCUUUGCUGUUUUUUUUUUUGUUUAUACAAGUUUUGUUUUAUGGAAAGAAAUGUCCAUAGGUUGCAUCAUGCAUAUUUUUCAAGAACUUUCAAUUUUUCACAAAAAAAUUUGGUUGAAUUCAAUAUAAUUGAACACUUGAAAUCAUUUGUUUGGAACUUUAAAUCUACUUCUACUAAAAACAAGUUUCUAAUUACUUUGAAAACUUCAAAAUUAAAAACAAGUAAGUAGAAUCAAAACAAUGACUCCUAGAACACUAAUGAACAUAAGACUCAAAGUAACAGGCAAGAUCAAUAAAAGACAUAACAAGAAACAUAUUCAAAACGAAAAAUGCUAUGAAUAUUAAAAAUAGCCGAAAAAAAUUCUGCAAGAAUUAAAGGGGUGGAAAAUAAAAAGAAAGAAAAUAAAGACAAGAAUGUAAAGGUACUUGAAUUUAAAGACAAGAAAGUAAAGGUACUUGAAUUUAAAGACAAGAAGUAAAGGUGUUAGAAUGUAAAGAAAUUCUAAAGUGCCAAAUCAACCCAAGCAAAUUAAGCAGAAGAAUCUAAGCUCUGAUAACCACAUGAUGUGAGUUGAUUUUAGGAUUGUUCAUUUUAUGGCGUGACACUUUACUUAUAUUGAGAUUUUAGGAAUUUAAGAGUGAAGACCUUAGGAAAAUCCCCACUGGACAUUAACAUAACCAAGUGGUUAAGUAGAUCUGAAGGUUCAUUUCACAGAGGCAAAAGGAAAAGACAAUUAUAAGGUGAAAAUGAUGCUAGAAGGUGCGAAAUUAAAGAACAAGGAAAAGAAACCAAAAUAGAAUUGCCAAAUGGAAACAAGGAAAACCAAACAAGAACAUGAUACAAAGAGUAAAAAUGGAAUGACAAUGGAAGAAUAGAUGAAGGAAGGAGAAAGCUUAUGUGAUGGGUUUGAGAAGUGGAACACGCCACUUGGAGUGUGAUUGGCCUCCAAGUUAAGUGAAGAUAGCCGCCACUUGAGAGUUCUCAAUACUCACAAGAUAAGGCCUAAAUGCUAAGAGGUAUUCAAACCUCACUAACACCUCACACACUUUGUUCAGAGUAACUCAUCUUCUAUUAUUUUCAACUUGUCAAAUACACUAGGUAGACCUCCUAUUUAUCGGUUAAGGAUCCUUGGAGAACAAGCUAAAGGGGUAGGAUGGGAAAAGGGAAAAAUGGGCAGCCUUAGGGUUUGACUAAGUCAAACCCGCAUCCUAGGCUUGUCCUUCUAGAAACUAGGUCAAAAUGCCUUCAAAAAGGGCUAGGAACAAGCUAAAAUGUUACCUACACACCCUAUUAUGCUAAAGGUACCUUAUUCUAGCCUAUAUUUGCUAUUUGGACCCCCAAAGUAAGCCUAAAUUAUUUACAACAUAUGCUAAUUAUUAAAAAGACCAGCAGGAAGAACAUUAAAUGUUCCGAUCUUUGUCCAUUUCUCCCUCUGGUGAGGUCUUCACUUGCAUGUUGAGAUGACUUCUCAUAGUGUGAAUGGUUAUUUGAAUUUGUUUUAAAUGAUUCCAACAACUUAUGGUUUUUGAUUUAACUGCUUUGACAACUUUGUUGAGGUCAUAUAAAGGUUGUUUAACACACCCUAACAUUAACUAAGAAAGAGAGUUUAUCAAAAAAUAAUUUCAAGAUUUAAAAAGCUUUUGGAUCAUCUCAAGUCUGUGAAAUAUGAUUGGGUUUUGUACUUCUGAACUUUAAGCUUUGAUUUACCCAGGUGUAUUCUAUUCUCUUCUUUCUUGAACAUUGUAUUUUUGUGUGUUCUUGUGUAAGACAGUUUCAGAAGGUGGUUCUGGAAACUGUGUUGUUUGUCAUAGAGUGGUGUGUGUUCUUGAAGGGUUCAAGAUCAUCACUCUUGGUGUGUGUUUUGUAAUCUAGGGUUGAUUACAUAGUGAAUUAUCAGUGGUUAGCGGAGGAUUGGAUGUAGCUCUUGGUUAAAAGUGAGUCAGUAUAAACAUCUUGUGUGAUUCUCUCUAUUGCUACACUCAUAAAUUUUUUUAACAUUGUUUUUCAAUUCUUUUGGUAUAAACAACCGGUUGUUUCGUGAAAACAACUGGUUGAUUUUCUGGAAUCAAACCUAAAUCAAUUUUUUAUUGGUUGAAUUUUUUUUUUCAAUUGAUAGAUUCUUCAUAGCCUUUCACUCUACCUUAAAUCCUUGUGAAAAUCUUUAAAAAAUAAUUCACCCCUCUUGUUUAGGCCUCUAAUUCUAACAAUUGGCAUCAGGAGUUCUUGAAAGUUACUCAAGUUUUGAUCCUAAAACCUUUUUAAAAUGGCUGAAAAACUACCCUUUGGGGAGGGUGCUUCUACAAACAGGCCACCUUUGUUUUGUGACUGAACUAUCAAUUUUGGAAGGUUAGAAUGAAAAUCUUUGUUGAAUCAAUUGAUAGAUAAAUCCGGGAUGCUAUUGUAAAUGGGCCUUUUCUACCUAAGUUUGAAAAGGAUGAUGUUUUCAUUGAAAAACCUUGGUCUCAAUGGACUGAGACUGAAAGUAAAAGAGCUAAAUAUGAUUGCAUUGCAAAGAACAUCAUCAAUACCGCUUUUAAUUCUGAUGAGUUUUUCAGGGUCUCACAAUGUGCUUCUGCAUAGGAGAUUUGGGACAUCCUUGAGGUUACCCAUGAAGUGAUGUGAUUUGAAUUUUAGAUGUCUUCAUUUAAGGUGACACUUUACUUUAAGAUUGAGAUUUUAGGAAUUAAUGGUGAUGACCUUAGGAAAAUUCUCACUGGACACUAACUUAACCAAGUGGUUAAGUAGGUGUGAAGGUGCAUUUCACAAAGGCAAAUAUAAAAUCAUUGUAAGGUAAGAAUGUAUGCAAUUGCAGAAAAGAAGAAGGAGGCUAGGAAACACCAAUGGUGGUCAAGGCCAACCAAAUGAUGAACCCUACUCAAUUAAGAAUGCCAAAACCGAGAGCAAACCCAAGGGAACAAGCAAGGAGAUUAACAUAAAUGGAAAGGGAACAUGAAGGAAAAUGGAAGAAGAAACUUACGGAGGUGGUGGUGGAUGAUCACGCCACUUGGUGUGUGGAAACCACCAAGAUAGCUGUUAGGCCGCCACUUGAGAGCUUCAUUCUCUUCAAGAUAUGACCAAAAGGAAAAGGAGAUAACACUCACUCAAGCUCACACAAUAUUUAUGCAAAGUAACUUUACUUCAAUUUCAACUUGAAAAAUACAAUGGGUGGGCCUCUUAUUUAUAGGUGACGGAGCCUUGGAAAACAAGCAAGAAGGGUAUGAUGGGAAAAGGGAAAAAAGGGACAACCUUAGGGUUUGACUAAGUCAAACCCGUACCCUAGGCUUGUCCUUCUAGAAACUAGGUCAAAACUCCUUCCAAAUGGGCUAGGAACAAGCUAAAAUGAUAACUACACCCCAUAUGAUGCUAAAUACACCUUAUUAUAGCCUAUAUUUGCUAUUUGGACCCCCAAAUUGAGCCCAAAUUAUUUACAACUUAUUUUAUUCUUAAGAAGACCAGCAGGAAGAACUUGAGAUGCUCAGGUCUUUGUCCAUUUCUCCCUCUAGUGAGGUCUUCACUUGAAUGUUGAGAUGACCUUUCAUAGUGUGCAUCCUUGGUCAUCUUCUUGUUGUCUUGGUUUGUAUUAUGAAGGCACAACUGAUGUGAAGAGAGAAAGGAAGCAUGCUUUGAUCCAAGAAUAUGAAAUGUUUAGGAUGCUUAAAGGGGAAACCAUCUUGAAUGUGCAGAAAAGAUUCACCCACAUAGUGAAUCAUCUCAUCAGCCUUGGCAAGAUCUUUGAAAGGGAGAAGCUGAACAUCAAGAUCCUCAAAUGCUUGGAUAGAUCAUGGCAACCAAAGGUCACUGCAAUUUCUGAAUCCAAAGAUUUGACAAUAUUGACCACAACCUUCGUGUUUGGUAAGCUAAGGGAGCAUGAACUUGAAAUGAACCGGCUUAAUGACCAAGAAAAUGAAGAAAAGCAUGUGAGGAACAUUGCUUUAAGAACUACUGGUCACAAAGAUGGUAAAGACUCAAGUGAGUGCAGUGAUGGUGAAACUCUCAAUUUGCUCACAAGGAAGUUUAACAAGUUCUUGAAAAAGAAAAACCAGGACAAGAAUCAACCAUCAAACAAGUAUAAUAGUAAGAAAAUGAAUGAAUUCAAUUCUACAAACUAUACUUGUUUUGGAUGUGGUAAAUAAGGUCACAUCAAGGCCGAUUGUUCAAAUAAUGAGAGCAAGGAGAGAGGGGCAAGCAAGAAGAUUGAAAAGAAGGGCAACGCAAGAAGACCCUACAAAGCUUGGCAAGAUAAUGAUGAUUCAUCCUCUAGUUCAUCAUCAAAGGAAGAUGAAGAAGCCAAUCUAUGUUUGAUGGCAAAGGAAGAAUAAAAAACAAGUAGUGUAAGUUCCAACACUUCCAUUAACUUUGAAAAUUAUAGCAAACUUCUUGAUGCUUUAAAGAAACUCAUGAGGAAGCUAAUUGGCUGGCCCUUUCGAAUAACCAGUUGAAGGGAUUGAAUAAUUGGUUGGAAAUAAGUCAAGACCCUAGAAGAAGAGUUGAACAAUUCUAAAACUGAUUUUGAAACCUGGAAAUGAUUUACAAAAAUUCUUCUUGUAAGUGUGUUCAUUCAAAUUUUUGUGAAAAUUGUGAAUCUCUUCAAAAAAGAACGUUCACUAUCUUUUAAAGAUUGUGAACAAGUUUUCCAAAGUCCAAUCCAAUCUUGAAACUGUUUUUGUUUCUCAAAACUAUGUGUUUGGUAAAGCUAGGUUGGGGUUUAAUCCAAAUAGCAAGAACAAACUCUUUUCAAAACCCUUUACCAGUUUUUUUGAAAAACAACAGAUUGUUUUGUCGAAACAACUGGUUGAAACAUGCUUUUACUGCAUGAAAAAGGGUCAUACUGUUAGAUUCUGCAGAGUGAAGAGGUUUUUUUUGUUUCCAGAGUUGUUUUAAAGUGGGUUCCUAAGAAUUCUAAGGUUCCUAAUGUUCUAGUUAAUGCCCAUGGACCAAAAUUUGUAGGGGGAGCAAACCUUGCUUCUUGAUCUUAUUUAUUGCAGGGACUUUGAUGGCAAAUCAACUCUUGUGGUACCUGCACUGUGGUUGUUCUAAGCACAUGACAAGAGAGAAAAGCAAGUUUGUCAAAUCUACUCCUUAAGCAAGAAAGUCAUGGGGACAACAACAAAGGUAUUCCAGGGAGUCAAGAAAACCUUGGGUCAAAGAAGAAUUGAUAUGGUGAAAACUAAUCAAAGUAAUGUUUGUUCCUAUGGUUCAGAAGUAUACACCUUACUCAGAUUCUUGACAAGUGAAAAAUUCAUGUUUUAUUUUUGUGUAUUUUGUUUAAGUUGUGUGUUAUGUGGUGAAAGCAAGUUUGAUGACCACAGAACAUUUCAAAUUGUAUGUUGCAUGACCUGGGGACCAGUAUUACUUUUUUGGAGGGGUAGGUCCAGCAGAUGAAGCAAGGUCAUUUACAACUGUAAAUGAGAAUUUUAAAACAUUGUUGGAUGAGUUGCUAAGAAGAGAAGAUUGAGCAUAAAACAUGUUUUUAUCUUUCUAGUUAUUUCUUCUCAGUUUGUUUAAUUUGCUUAUUUUUUUAUUGUUUAAUUUGCUUAUAUUUUUAGUUUUAUUUUAUUUGUUGAGUUAUUUUUCUAGUUUUAUUUUGUUCUUAAAUAAUAUUAUUAGAACUAGAAUAUUAAUUUGAAUUGUGGGGAAAUUAUUAAUUAGAUUUUGUGUUUAAAGAUUAGACUAGUGAAAUGAUAUAGACACCGGUUGGAAAAAAAAUAUGUUGAUUUUAUAUUCAAAUUUAAUUGAGAUUGUGGUACAUGAAAAUUAAAUAGGAUGAUUAGUUGGAAUAGAGAAUUGUACUGGACCAGAGCGCUGGGCUCAGUGCUUGGUGAUCGAACAUCGGCAUCUAUGUCAAGUAGGUCAGCUUGGUGGUCUGGUCGAGUUAAUUGGCCACGUAAGUGGGCCUCAGGUAUGUGUGCGUUGAGGUUCAUUCAUAUUCUAAACGUGUAUAAGGCCUGGUCAGCGAAAAAGUGCGAGUGGUGUGUUUAGUACAUUCGGGUCUACAAGUAAAAUAUUCUCUAAAGACGCCUAAAGCCCAAGAGCGCUAGGGUUUUGGGGAAUAAGCUGCAUGCAUCAUACGUAAAGGCUUGUACGCCUACAGUGGACAAAUGGCCCCUGAUGCUGGUACAUGAGUUGGUAUCCUGGCAGCCACGCUGUUAAAAUUAUGCACUCCAAGGAGAAAAAUUAUGCGCGGUUGUCGUACUAAGAUUGUGCACAUUGUAACAAACUUUCAUCCCAUGAAACCUACUUUCACUCAAGAUAAGGUUCUCGUGAGAGAAGGGUUGUUACAAGAAGUAACCUAAAAGCAGUCUAUAAAAGGGACUUGAGAUCCCUGGUAAAGGUACACUGUUUCUAAGACUGAAACUACUUGCUUACUUAUUGUUUCUAUAAGCCCUGUACUGACUUAAUCGUCGGAGUACAAUCAACAGGUAGGGCCCCCUCUGUUUCAAACGGAGCCGCGUUCCAACAUCCAAAGAAAAUAGCAAAUUCUAGCAGAGGCAGACGAAGUCACAAUCUGUUCCCAAAGUCAACCGACGACCAGGUCAACCGACAAGAACAAAUAAGCUAUAAGGAAUUAAACUAAUUAAGCCUAGGAAUUAAAUUAAUUGUUGCAUUGCAACCCACUUCUAAUUCCACAGUGUUUUGUUCCUUCAAUCUUCUCUUCUUUGUGAACAUCAUUCAUAAAUCUGGCAUAAGUGGGCAUCUGUUCCAAAGGUCCAGUAAAAGAAAUAUUGAUCUAUAAUUGCUUAAGAAUUUCACAAAAUCUAAUAAAUUGUCGCUCUAUAUUCUUCCUCGAGGGAACAUGUGGGUAAGAUAAAUCUAGAAUUGGAGCACUUUGCUUUACAUUCUCUAUUUUUUUUCUUUUUUUCUUUUCUAUAUGUACACUCUCUUUUUCUUUUUUCUCCUUUUCUUCUCCUUCACACUCAAUUUUUCUUUCUUCAUUUUUUCUCUCCUCACAAACAAUCAAAUUGUCUUCAAUCCUGAUGUGAGUUGAUUUUAGAAUUGCACAUAUUAUGGGUUGCACUUGGUUAUGAGUUUUUUUUUAAAUUUUAGUAGAAUAUGGUGAGAAACCCAAAAAAGAUCCCCAAAGGACACGAACUUAACCAAGUGGUUAAGUGUGAAGGUUCACUUAUAGAAGGUAAAGAGAAAAACACAAUAUGGUGAUUAUGAUCAUGAACAUAAAUGGUGGAAAUGGAAAGAACAUAAGAUGAGGAAUGACAAGUAAUAACCAAAAUUAAAAGACAAACAUGGAAUCGUAAAGAGAAAUGGAAAUGGAAGACACAAAAAGGAAGAUAAAAUGAGGAAGGGAUGAAGAAAAAUUAUGGAAGAGAAGGGAUGUCAUGCCACCUGGAAAAGGAGGUACUCCAAGAUGAGUGGUGAAAGAGCCGCCACUUGAAGUACUCACACACUCAAGAUAAGACCCACUAUGAGAACUCUCAAGAUUUUCUUUACUAUAUUCAAAUUCAAUGUGACAAUACAUUGAGGAAGGCACCCAUUAUACAGGAAGGAGUGACUUGGAGGGCAAGAUGAGUAAGGGGUAGAAAAGGAAGCGGGAGAGGGGCUGCCUAGGGUGUUUGACCAUGGUCAAAAAUUUCCCUUAGGCAUAGCUUCUAGAAGUUAGGUUAAAAAUCGUAAUUCUAGGUGCUUGUGUCAUGAAAAGUGGCUUGGCACAAGCCAAUUUUGCUAAGUACACUCCUAUUUAUGCUAUGUAAACCUACUCUAGCUUAUUCUUAUAUUUUGACCCCUAAAGUGAACCCAAUUUAUUUGCAAACAUCUUAUCUUGUAAGAAGAGUAGAAGAAAGAACAUCUGAUGCUCUGGUUCAUGCCCAGUUCUUCUUCUAUUAAAGUUCUUCCGACAUUUGGUGGGACCUUGUCUUGGAUGCUGAGAUGACUUAUCAAAGUGUGAAGUGUCUCUUGUGUCCUUGGUCAUCUUCUUGGCUAUUUGGGUUGUAUCAUGCCCCCAAGUUGGAAAGAAUUCGUCUUCAAAUUUAGAACUCCUGUAAAGAACAUAGUUAGUUUGUUCACUGAUAACAUAUUGCGAGAUGUGGGUUGUGAAGUAAACUUAUGUUCAUCAAGCUUUGGGAGUUCAUAGGGUUGAGUUUCUAUACACAGGCCAUGUUUGGAAAGAAUAUUUGGGGAUGAAAUGACUUCUUGGUUUCUCUUAGAAGGUAGGAACCUUUAGGAGGUGUUUGAAUAUCAUCCCUAAAAUUCUUUAGCAAAGAUGUCAAGUAUUUAGAAGCAUUAGGUAAUGAAAAAGAUAAGGAAGAAGAACAUUGGAGGUACAAUUUGCAUUUCUGUACGGGUCAACAUGAUUAUUUUUUUCAGUGUGAGGUGAGGUAUUGUUACCUGGUUUAUCUUUUCUUUCUUUAUCUUUUUCAUUUUCUCUUUUUGUUUUCAUUUUUAUUUGAUCUUUAUUUACCUAUUUUGGAGAUAGAGGUUUCAAAAUGAUCUUAUGCCCUUGGAAGGUAAAAGAUAUUAUAUUAGUAAGGCCAUCAUGUAAAAUUUUUCUAUCAAAUUUCCAUGGCAUUCUUAAUAGAAUGUGGGUUGCUUCUAUAGACACAACAUCACACAAGACCUCAUCUUUAUAUUUUCCAAUGGAGAAGGCUAUGAGGACUUGUUUAUUGACAAAGAUUUCUGAUAUGAUUCCAAUAGCAAGAUAGAGAUGAUUCUUUGACAUUUUAUGGAAUCAACUUGAGUUGGAGAAUGAAUAGGCACUUUUAAUAGAAAUGAAUCAAUGUUCUAUGUUUCAAGAACUCACCGAAACUUGCACCAAACACCAAACUCACAUGGAAGACCCAUUUCUUGCCAAUUGAACCGUUUAAAUUGCUUAGAAAUUGAAAAACACCGAACAAAUCAGUAAAAAAUUAAGAAGAAGCAACUGAAUCCAGCAAAAGAGAAUAAGAACCGAACACUAUAUGAAAUUAAACUCAAAACACCAAAUAAAAGGAACCUAGACAUGUUUUUGAAUUCGUAUGAACUUGGAAAUGAAAUGAAAAGAUGGACAAGAGAGGAACUUAUGAGGAUGAAGAGCUUGGUUGAUGGUCACGCCACUUGAAGUGUGAUAGCUCCAAGAUAAGUGUGCAAUGCCGCCACUUGAGAGAACCAAGGCACUCAAUAUGAGACUAGGAAGAGGAGAAGACAAGUUCUCACACACUCAAUCACCAAUUUGGGAGAGUUUUGCUACUUCAAUUAUCAAAUCUCAAUUAUGAAGGACCUAAGCCCUCCUUUUAUAGGAGAAGGAUCGGUCAAAGUGUACACAAAGCUUACAUAAGAAGCUAACCAAAGGUCCUUUGCCUUUUACCUAUUCUAGCGCCUAUUUAGUGAAGACAUGAAGAGUUACCUUCUAGAAAAUUAUAAACUAAUGCCUAAAGAUGCUUUACAAAAGAGGUAUCUUAAGGUUUCCCUCUAAGCACCUUCCUAAACACUAUUCUAUAUUAUUUAUAAUUUAAAAGAAACUAUAAAGAGAGAUAUUUAAUUGAAGCCCAUUCUUGAAAGCUUGUAGACUUCUUUGGCUUUAGGCUUAAUCCUCUCUUUAUUUUAUGUCUUCUUUUAAUUUUGAGAAGACUAGAAGGAAGAACUUCAAAUGUGUGGGUGAAUGACCUCUUCCUCCAUUGGUAAAAGCCUCUGUUAUCUUUUCUUCAUCAUACUCCUCGAGUUGGAGAGAAUUCGACCGCAAAUUCUGAAUCCCUGCAUAUAACAAAGUCAGUUUACUUUUACAAUGAAAAGUUGAAGAAAAAGGCAAACAUGACUUAGAAGUUGGAAGCAGUGGGAGUUCAGAAAAGGAAGUCCUAUAAACAGACCAAGUUGGAAAAAUUUGUUUGGGAAUGAUGAUAUUUGUUGGAAAAAGUCCUCUUAAAUGGUGAAAACCAUUAGGAGGUAUGAAAUCAUCCCUAACAUUCUUUAACCAAGUUGGUGUUGAAAUAGGAACCUUGGGUAAUGAAAAAGAUAAAGAAGGAAAACACCUUGGAUGUGAAAGGAUAAGACCCAUGUCAACUUGGCCUUCUUUGGCUUUUUCAUUUUUACUUGUGGUAGGUGGGUGAGUUAGGUCUUGUUUUACCUUGUUUUUCAUUAAGGUUUACUUUUGUGGACAAUGAAGAGCUAUGUGCCCAAAACCUAAACAUUUAAAACAUUUUAUAUUUGAAGUUUUGGUAGGUGACUUAGGAGUAGAAGGAUUUGUAGUAGAAACUUUUUUUAGAGAAGUGGUUUGUUUGGAAAAAUUGGAAGGAGAAAUUCGAGUAGAAAUUUUGUUUGCAUCCUUCCUAGAAGAGUUGUAGACACCAUCAUCAUGAGUAUUUUUGAAAGUUGUUUUCAAAAGAUAUGAUUCCACCUUGAUGGCUAUGCGAAACACUCUCUUUAAAGAAGAGUAUUCAUUUAAUUCUACAAGGUCUCUAAUAUCUCUUCUCAAACCACGUACAAACCACUUUAUCUUUGAUUCUUCAUUAGCAUGCAUAUUCAUUUUAGUCAAAGUUGUUUCAAAAUCUUUAAAGUAUUCAUCUACCAUCCUAUGUCCUUGACGAAGCCUUUGGAACUUCAACAAGUGUUCCUUCCUAGAAGGAGGAACAAACCUCGCACACAUACACUCUUUCAAAUCAUUCCAAGAAACCACGGGAGGUCUCUUGCGAUAUAUAAUGUCCAUUACAAUGCUAUGCCACCAUUCUUUGGCAUAGUUCAAAAAAGAUAAAGAAACUAGCCUAAGUUUAUGGUCAUCUUGGACCUUAUACACAUGAAAAUAAUGGUCAACCUUAGCUUCCCAAUCUAAAUACACAUUAGGAUCACUAUCACCACUAAAGCUAGGUACUUGUAUAAAAGAAAAUUGGGACUUGGCUUCUUGGUGAUAUCUUUGGUCACGGUGAUGGCUUUUCCCAUGGGAAUAAUGAUCAUGCCUCCUUCUAUGUUCCUCUUCACGGCCAUGAUCAUUGGAAGAACCUCUAGAUGAAGGUCUAUGAGAAUGACGCUCUCCAUUGAUAGAAUUAGAGGACCUAGUUUGCUUCAUUUCAACUCUUUGUAAUCUUUCCUCCAACUUUCUUAUAGCUUCAUCGUUGAGAUUAAUGGUUCAUUUUGUUUUUUUUAAUUCAUCAAGAGCAGAAGCUUUGCUAGAAGAAUGCUGUUUGGAAGAAUCACUGUUGGAAUAUGAAGCCAUUUAUAAAAGAAAACAGCAAACAAAAUAGCAAACAAUGUUAAGAAAAUUAGCAACAAUUUAUAUCAAAAUGCCGAAGUGAAGUGUCACUUAAAAACACUCCAAAGAAAGAAUACUCCCCUUUACCAAUUUGAUUUUGAGGCCUUUAGUAACCUCAAGUAAAAUAUGUCAAAGAAAGAGCACACAAUCUCAAAGCUAAUCACCACAAAACCAAAGAAACAAUGAAGGACAAACAAGAAAAGGUAUAAGCAAUAAAAGGCUAUAACAAAAGGAAUACAAGAUGUAUGACAAACUCAAAGAGUAAUGAAGAAAAUACAAGCAAGAAAAUAAGGUACUCAAUGAAAAAGAAGGCACAUAAAAGAGACCUAGAGAAAAGUACUAGAGUAGAUGAAGAAAACCAAAAAAGAACUACUGAAAAUAAAAAUAAAAAUUGUGCAAACUGUGCUUGAUGUUUACAGAUUUAGCUGGAAUGAUAUAAAGCGAACUGGAUUAUGAAAUUGUAACCACAGAAAAUUCAAGAUCUUAAAUCAACAAUGGCAUGGAAUUACUCAAAAACAGUAAGCCAAUUAAUUGAGAUAAAAUUUUCAAAAUCACUGCUAGAUUACCGUAUUUUUUUUGGCAGAAUUACACACUGUUUGUAUUUUAUUUAUCAUUUUUUUUGUACUUUGAAUUUUGAAGUACUUAUUUUUCUACUUUUUUAUAACACUUUGACGAACACAAAUCCAGAAUUUCAGAAAUUUCCAGUAAGUAAAUCAAUUGCUAUAAGGCAAAACAGUUAGCACGUUUUCUGGAAAACAGAGGAAUCCUAAUAGGAAUGAAAAACAGAAUUAAGAACUAGCAAAGACAUAAUAGAAAUGAUGUAUAAGAACUUGUAUAGAUAUAAAAUACAAGUAUGAACUCAAAACUAAACAUAAAAUGCAUCAAAGGAUCAAGAAACAAGUUCAGAAAAACUGUAUUACACAAAAGCAAGAAACAAAAAUGACAAUAAAAGGAUCACAAAGAAUUGAUAACAAUCUUGGAAAAACAUGACUAUGACAAAAAUUAAAAGGAUUCAAAAAGGAAAAGACACAAAAACAUGAUAGGCACAAUUAAGAAAACAACAAGAAAACUCAAAAAAUAUCCUGAAAACAGAAAUGAAACAACAAGAAUAUAGAGUUCUUGAAUUAAAAGUGCAAAACAACUCAAAAUUAAACAAGAACAAACCUAAGACUCAUGAUACCACAUGAUAUGAUUCCAAUAGCAAGAUAGAGAUGAUUCUUUGACAUUUUAUGGAAUCAACUUGAGUUGGAGAAUGAAUAGGCACUUUUAAUAGAAAUGGAUCAAUGUUCUAUGUUUCAAGAACUCACCAAAACUUGCACCAAACACCAAACUCACAUGGAAGACCCAUUUCUUGCCAAUUGAACCGUUUAAAUUGCUUAGAAAUUGAAAAGCACCGAACAAAUCAGUAAAAAAUUAAGAAGAAACAACUGAAUCCAGCAAAAGAGAAUAAGAACCGAACACUAUAUGAAAUUAAACUCAAAACACCAAAUAAAAGGAACCUAGACAUGUUUUUGAAUUCGUAUGAACUUAGAAAUGAAAUGAAAAGAUGGACAAGAGAGGAACUUAUGAGGAUGAAGAGCUUGGUUGAUGGUCACGCCACUUGAAGUGUGAUAGCUCCACGCCACUUGAAGUGUGAUAGCUCCAAGAUAAGUGUGCAAUGCCGCCACUUGAGAGAACCAAGGCACUCAAUAUGAGACUAGGAAGAGGAGAAGACAAGUUCUCACACACUCAAUCACCAAUUUGGGAGAGUUUUGCUACUUCAAUUAUCAAAUCUCAAUUAUGAAGGACCUAAGCCCUCCUUUAAUAGGAGAAGGACCGGUCAAAGUGUACACAAAGCUUACAUAAGAAGCUAACCAAAGGUCCUUUCACCUUUACCUAUUCUAGCGCCUAUUUAGUGAAGACAUGAAGAGUUACCUUCUAGAAAAUUCUAAACUAAUGCCUAAAGAUGCUUUACAAAAGAGAUAUCUUAAGGUUUCCCUCUAAGCACCUUCCUAAACACUAUUCUAUAUUAUUUACAAUUUAAAAGAAACUAUAAAGAGAGAUAUUUAAUUGAAGCCCAUUCUUGAAAGGUUGUAGACAUCUUUGGCUUUAGGCUUGAUCCUCUCUUUAUUUGAUGUCUUCUUUUAAUUUUGAGAAGACUAGAAGGAAGAACUUCAAAUGUGUGGGUGAAUGACCUCUUCCUCCAUUGGUAAAGGCCUCUCUUAUCUUUUCUUCAUCAAUUUCUCCCUUUUCACUAAGCCAUUCUAAUUUGUAGGGCUUUGUAUGAGAAAUGAUGGUUAAUCCAAGUUUAUCCACCACUCUUGUACUUGCCACAUUUGUACAACUACCCCCAUCUACAAUUAGUGAACAUAGUUUGUUAUUAAUAACGCAUCUUGUUUGAAAAAUAUUUUCCCUUUGACUUUAAUAAAAAAUGUUUUUGAUUUUGUCCAAGCAUGCGCCUUACUACUAAUAAAUCACCUUCACAAGGUAACUCAUAAUCAUCCUCACUUUGGCUUUUGGAAGAGGUAGAGGAGCUAGACCUUGAGGAUUGGGAACUACGGUCACUCACUACAACCCCCUCUUUUACCAUCAUUGUUCUUUUGAAAGGACAAUUUGCAGCUAUGUGCCCAAAACCUAAACAUUUAAAACAUUUUGUACUUGAAGUUUUGGUGGGUGACUUAGGGUAGAAGUGGAAGGUUUGUGUUUAGAAACUCUAUGGUUAGAAGUGGUUUCUUUUGAAAAAUUGGAAGGAAAAGUUUUUGUAGAAAUUUUGUUUCUGUCUUUCGAUGAAGAUUUGUAGAAGCCAUCAUUAUGAGUAUUUUUGAAAGUUGUUUUCUUCCAAAGUUGUGAUUCUACCUCGAUGACUAGGUAAACCAAUUUUUCAAAAGAAGAGUAUUCAUAUUAUUCUACAAUAUCUUUGACUCCUCACUAUCAUGCAUAUUAAUUUUGGUCAAAGUAGUUUCUAAGUCUUUGAAAUAUUCAUCUACACUUCUAGGUCCUUGUUGAAGCCGUUGGAGCUUCAACAAGAGUUCCUUCCUAUAAUGAGGAGGAACAAACCUCGCGCGCAUUCAUAACCUUAAAUCGUCCCAAGAGACCACAAUUGGCCUCUUGUUUAGCCCAAUUUCCAUUAUAGUUUGAUGCCACCACUGCAUGGCAUAAUCUAAAAACUCUAGGGAAGCUAACUUAACCUUUUGGUCCUCAUCGACCUCAUACACAUUGAAAAUUUGUUCUACCUUAGCUUCCCAUCCUAAGUAUACAUUAGGAUCACUUUCCCCAUUAAAAUUAGGUAACUUUAAAAAAGGAAAAGAAUUCUUUGGUGUUUGGUGUUGAUGGCGCCUGUCUUCAAAAUUGAGCACUCUCUAAUAUUGUUUUUCUUCUUGACUUCCAUAGUGCAUGUAAUUUCUAGGAGCUCUUCUAGGCUCCCAUCUCCUUUCUCUAGCUUGUCUCUCUUGAGUCUCUUCUAAUCUUUGCAUCCUUUCCACUAAUUGCCUCAUUUCCUCUUCUUUGUGGGUCAAUCUUCUUUUGGCAUCCGCAAGAUAUCCCAAAAGAUGUGCCUUUUGAGGAGAUUGUGGCUUUGAAGAUUCUCCUAAAGACAAAUGAGCCAUAAUUUUUCACAAAAGGAAACAAAAAAAUUAGUUAAAAUAACAAUUUUUCUCACUUCUCACUUGUAUCACUCGGCUAUUUAGUAAAGGAGGGAAGAAAUGUAAUGCACUCAAGAAAGAUUUGCACUCUAAAAACAACAAAGCUCUUACACUUACUUACUAAAGAUCCCCACAACAAAACUUAAGAAAGAUUUGAAAGACAAGCAAGAAAAUAUUAAAAGAAAGAAAGCUAAACCAAAGUGGGCAAAAAGAUAGUGAUAUAACUUUAGAGAAGACAAACAAGAAAAGCACUUAAAAAAAGACUUAAAGAAACUUACUUAAACUUUAUGUAUGAAGGUUUAAUGUUCUUAGAAAUUGUGAAAGCAAGAAGGAUUAAACUCCACAAGUAUGAACACAAUUUGCCAUACACUUAGAAUUCUCUUUAGUAAUUUGAAAUUUGAAAGUUGAACCUUGAAUGCUCUCAAGUUCUUUUUAUCUUGUUUUUAUGGACUCAAAAGUUCCAUAUCUUUUUUUUUUUUGCAUGCAUAUUCUUUUGUUAUCAUUUCACUUUUCACUUUUCGCAAAAAGAUGUUGACUUUGGAUUCAAAUCAUAUGAACACUUGCAUUCUAUGUUUGGAAUUAAAUCAACCACUACUCAAAAAACUUCUUUUUAACUCUUUACAAUAAAAAUAAAAAUAAGUAGAAUAGAGUUAAGACUCCUAGAACACUAAGAACACAAGACUCAAGCAAAAGAUGUAAGGAAAAAAAAAUUGACAGAAAAUAUUCAAAAGCGGAAUUUAAAGUGCUUAAUGAAUAAAAACGCGGAAUUGUAAAUGAUAAGAAUUAAAAGGCGGAAUAGAAAUUGCUUGAAGGUAAAAGCAAGAAUUUAAAUGUGCUACAACUUUAAAGAUAGAAAUCAACUCAAAAGAAAUUAAGCACAAAAUAACCAUGCUCUGAAUACCACAUGAUGUGAGUUGAUUAUAGAGUUGUACAUUUUAUGGUGGCACUUUGUUUAUGAUUUUUAUUUUUUAAGCAAUGCAAGGUGAGAACCCAAAUAAGAUCCCCACUGGACAUGAAGUUAACCAAGUGGUUAAGUAAGUGUGAAGGUUCGCUUUUAAAGGGCAAAGGGAAAAACACAAUAUGGUGAUUAUGAUGAUGAAGAUAAAUGGCAGAAAUGCAAAGAAUAUAAGAUGAAGAAUGACAAGUAAUAACCAAAAUUAAAAGACAAAGAUGGAAUCAUAAAGAGGAAUGGAAAUGGAAGACAUAAAAAGGAAGAUAAAAGGAGGAAGGGAUGAAGAAAGCUUAUGGAAGAGAAGGGAUGUCAUGCCACUUGGAGAAGGAGGUACUCCAAGAUGAGUGGUGAAAGAGCCGCCACUUAAAGUGCUCAGACACUCAAGAUAAGACCCACCAUGAGAACUCCCAAGUCUAAAAAAAUCACUCCUGCAGAGUUUUGUUUACUAUAUUCAAAUUCAAUGUGUCAAUACAUGGAGGAAGAUACCCUUUAUAUAGGAAGGAGUGACUAGAAGGGCAAGAUGAGUGAGGGGUAGAAAAGGAAGGGGGAGAGGGGAUACCUAGUUUGUUUGACCAUGAUAAAAAAUGUCCCUUAGGCAUAGCUUCAAGAAGUUAGGUUAAAAACCGUAAUUUUAGGUGCAUGUGUUAUGAAAAGUGGGCUUGGCACAAGCCCAUUUUGCUAAGUACACUCCUAUUUAUGAUAUGUAAACCUACUCUAGCUUAUUCUUCUAUUUGGACCCCUAAAGUGAAACCAAUUUAUUUACAAACAUUUUGUCUUGUAAGAAGAGUAGAAGAAAGAACAUCUAAUGCUUUGGUUUAUGCCCAGUUCUUCUUCUGUUGAGGUUCUUCCGACAUUUGGUGGGGCCUUGUCUUGGAUGCUGAGAUGACAUAUCAAAGUGUGAAGUGUCUUUUGUGUCCUUGGUCAUCUUCUUGGCUAUUUGGGUUUUAUCAAAUCCCCUCUCCAAUAGCUAUUCCACUUCUAGUAGUAAUUGACUUACAUUGCUCCUUGAGCUUUAUCUGUGUGUUGGAUGUAAAUUGUUUAUUCUAGGGGUUCUCCAAUUGCUUUCCAAUCUAUCCCACUUGUGUCUCCAAACUUCUAAUAGAAGUGUCAAUAUUCUUUUAGUUGUACGGUGAUGCUUAGUGGUUAUUGUUGUUGAAAGGGGUCUUGCUUAAAACUUUGAUUUUGAUUGUUUCUCCAGCCUUGAAGAUAAAAUUAUUAUUAUUGGAGAAUCUACCUUGCGUUCCUUGAUUUCCCAUAUAAUGAACCUCUUAUUCAGAUGAAUUAUUUUCAAAAGAGAAGUGACCAUUUGGAUGAUUACCUCCACAAAAAUCAUACUUCAUUAAUUGAAUUGGGCUUUGAUAAGAAUGCAUAACUUCUAAUUGUUGUGGCAGAUUAGAUAUUUGCUUCAUUAAUACUUCCAUCUACUGUGUCAAAAUUUUGUUAUGAGCCAAAAGUGCAUUUAAAGUAUUAUUAUCCAUCAUCCCCUACUACAAGAAAAUUUGAUAUUACAUACAACAUCAAUCCGUAUGUAAGAGACCAAAUUUGCAUGUAGAUCAUAGUUACAUACGGAUACAAAUUCUAUAUGUAAUAACAUACGAGUAAAUCUAUAUUUAUGUAAUUCACUAUAAGAAAUUAGGUAAAUAGUGUAGGUUAUAAACGGACACAAGCAACCAAAAGCUGACACAAAAUUAUUGUUAGCGUAGGUUUAACGUCACAAACAAAUUGGAAGCUAAUACCUUGGAUGCUAACACUUUAGCGUGGGCUUCAACAGGAGACGCAAUUUGAGUAGACUAAACCUUCGCAAUUUGGACACAAGGUAGACACACUAGCAUCACCUAGGCCGCAACAAAAUUAAAAUUUUUAUUUUAUAAAUUUNNNNNNNNNNNNNNNNNNNNNNNNNNNNNNNNNNNNNNNNNNNNNNNNNNNNNNNNNNNNNNNNNNNNNNNNNNNNNNNNNNNNNNNNNNNNNNNNNNNNCUUCUAAAUUACAAAGUAUUAAAGGAAUCAUAAACCAAGACUAUGAAAGAGUUCUUCGACAUUAACAAAUAAGAAAAUAAAAUUAUAAAUAUUUUAUAUCACAACACAAGUAGUACUUAAGAUAUUUCAUGAAUAAAAUGUUGUGUGAGAGACAUGGAUUCGCAUGACAUUUCUCACCACUACAGAUAUUUCGCAACUAUAGUGUUGAAUGAAUACUAGUGUGUCUUUGUGCCUGUGUGAUUAUUUAAGAGCAAAAUAUUAAUCUGGUGAGAAUAUAUAUACGGACUACACGGACUAUUUCACUUGUGUUUUAUAAAUUGUUUUUUAAAAAUAAAUAUACAAAAAAACUAGUAUUAGGCCCUAAUAAAAUAUAUUCAUUGUUUAAUUUUAAAUUAAGACGUUUAAGAGAUAUUUUAAUCCGUGUAAAAAAAACAAAAACAAGUAAGGUUAAAGAACCUAAUAUCAUCAAUCUCUUACAAAAUAUUCCAAUAUCAAAAUAUAUAUUCUUUCGUAACACUAACCAACUUGUAUUCCACCCAAUUCAAAAUGACCCCCUGUUCUAAUUACAUGCACCGACAUGUUGACUCUGUUUUGAUAUACAUCUGUAUGAAUAUUAAACCUCUAGUGUAACAUUUGCCAUUUUGCAUCUACUAUUUCUCACUUCCAUUAGCUAUCUAGCACAUUUUCUGCAAAUGCUGAAUACGUUUAAGUGUAGAGGAGCUUGCUUUGUCACCACUUACAUAAAAUUGAUGAUUUGAUCAAACUUAGUCAAAUAUCUUUGCCGGUACUUUCGGUGUUCUAGAAACCAGCAUCUAUAUGCCACUAACCUACAUAAAACAUCGUUGUACAUGCUGUCCAGUUCUCAAAUACUAAUUCCCCCUAAAUUGACAUUGGCUACACUCUUAUAUGCUAAUCUAAACUUAUCCUAAAACCUUUGAACUAGUCAAAAACUUAUCCCCAAAGUUUAAAGUGAUUUUAGAUUGGACAGAGAAACCAAUCAGAGAACGAAUGAGAAUGAAACAUCACAUGAACUGCAUCAACACAAAGUAUGCACAACAAAAGAACAAAUUUUGAGCAUUAAACUUCUCAACCUAUUAAUCAAAAAAGGAAAGAUAGAAACAUGUACCUCAAAAUUACAUUAACAUUAAUUAAAUAUAGCACCUCAUAAACAUUUACUUAAAUAAACAUAUUGAGUUCUAAUAUCAGUCCACUUAAGGAAUUAUUUCCCUUUACUUUCUGAUUUAUGCUUCAAGCACCAUUAAAGUAAAUAACAUAGUAUAUAUAAGUGCUAAUAUUACAUAUAAGGUAAGUUUAUUAUGAGUAUGAAAAAUAUUUCAUACUGUGCAAUAACAGAUAAGGAACCCUAAAAUAUUCAUAAUAAGACUGUGCAAUAACAGAUAAGGAACUGAUUCUUAGCAAGUACCAUACAUUACAUAUAUAUAUAUAUAAAGCGAAAAAGCCUUAGAUAGUGUAUGAAUAAGCAACAUGUUCUUUAUUAAGUAAUACAGCCUAAAUAUAAGAAAGUAGCCUAAGGAAUCUGGUUCACCUGAAUUCUCCAUUUUCACUUUUUUCUCUACAGUUUUCACUCAAGACAGUAGCAGUUUCAUCUUCAUGCUGAGUUUUUAUAUUCUCAGUCAUUGCCUACAAUACGCAUAUUUAAUAUUCAAUAUUAUAAAAAUAAUAUUAUAAACAUAUUUUCAUUUGGAAGUACAUGAGGAAUUGCAUGAAGGAUUCAACAAAAUUGGAGAAAAAAAGAUGAAAGUAACAAGAAAAAAGAACCAAGACUAUGCAUAUUGCUAUACUGUUAAAUUUUUCACUGAAAUCAAUAUUCAACAGUAACAUGUUCAAAACAUAAACAAAUUCCAAUCUUAAUUGCAAUUCAUCACAAUAAUUUCAGUAACUCCAUCUAAUUCAUUCUUCGACAUGCAAAUUUUUUAAAAUAUUACAAACUAUUUUCCUAAAACUAACUUGCUAUAAACUAACCUUUAUAGCACUCCCAACACAAUUUCCGGUUCCAAACGACAAUCCUCAUACAGCCCAUGCACCACCUCAACCAAAAACAGAAAAACGCAAAAAUUAAAAAUCAAACGCUAAAUCAACAAUGAAUUCACUGAAACCAAAAUCAACUAACCUUUUAAAUUAACCUUAGAGGUUAAGCUACAAAGAAUCGAAGCGAAUACGAAAAUUCAACAUCAUCCUCCCAAUUUUGAAGACUGGAACCAAUUACGUAGCCUCACUAGCUCACUCACUACAAAAACAAAUCAAUCGGUGCAACAACAGAUGGGGACAGGAAGAAAUCGAGGUUUUAACAACUGCUUGAUUAGAAAAUCGCGGCAGGAACAAAUGGUUUGGCCAAAAACGCAGAAAAGGUGUAGGGUUUGCUCUUAAGAAAGAAGAGAAAAAUGGAGAAGAUUCUAACUCGCGCUAAAAACGAAAAAGAGGAGAAGAUUUUAGCUCGCGUAGGAAGGCCAAAAAUGAAGAAGAGGAUCUAGGGUUUGCUCUGAAGAAAGAGUGAAAAAGGGAAGAUUUAACCUUGCGAGUUUGGUUUGAGAAAAAAAAUGAAAAAUGGAGAAGAUUGAACUUGUGGG